rnacentral:rRNA from 1 species
UACGAAGGGGGCUAGCGUUGUUCGGAAUUACUGGGCGUAAAGGGCGCGUAGGCGGUGUGUCAAGUCAGGCGUGAAAGCCCCGGGCUCAACCUGGGAACCGCGCUUGAGACUGGCACGCUAGAGUUCGGGAGAGGAUGGUGGAAUUCCCAGUGUAGAGGUGAAAUUCGUAGAUAUUGGGAAGAACACCGAUGGCGAAGGCAGCCAUCUGGACCGACACUGACGCUGAGGCGCGAAAGCGUGGGGAGCAAACAGGG